AUAAUGGGUCAGCGACUUAUAUUCUGUAGCAAGGUUAACCGAAUAGGGGAGCCGAAGGGAAACCGAGUCUUAACUGGGCGUUAAGUUGCAGGGUAUAGACCCGAAACCCGGUGAUCUAGCCAUGGGCAGGUUGAAGGUUGGGUAACACUAACUGGAGGACCGAACCGACUAAUGUUGAAAAAUUAGCGGAUGACUUGUGGCUGGGGGUGAAAGGCCAAUCAAACCGGGAGAUAGCUGGUUCUCCCCGAAAGCUAUUUAGGUAGCGCCUCGUGAAUUCAUCUCCGGGGGUAGAGCACUGUUUCGGCAAGGGGGUCAUCCCGACUUACCAACCCGAUGCAAACUGCGAAUACCGGAGAAUGUUAUCACGGGAGACACACGGCGGGUGCUAACGUCCGUCGUGAAGAGGGAAACAACCCAGACCGCCAGCUAAGGUCCCAAAGUCAUGGUUAAGUGGGAAACGAUGUGGGAAGGCCCAGACAGCCAGGAUGUUGGCUUAGAAGCAGCCAUCAUUUAAAGAAAGCGUAAUAGCUCACUGGUCGAGUCGGCCUGCGCGGAAGAUGUAACGGGGCUAAACCAUGCACCGAAGCUGCGGCAGCGACGCUGAUGCGUUGUUGGGUAGGGGAGCGUUCUGUAAGCCUGCGAAGGUGUGCUGUGAGGCAUGCUGGAGGUAUCAGAAGUGCGAAUGCUGACAUAAGUAACGAUAAAGCGGGUGAAAAGCCCGCUCGCCGGAAGACCAAGGGUUCCUGUCCAACGUUAAUCGGGGCAGGGUGAGUCGACCCCUAAGGCGAGGCCGAAAGGCGUAGUCGAUGGGAAACAGGUUAAUAUUCCUGUACUUGGUGUUACUGCGAAGGGGGGACGGAGAAGGCUAUGUUGGCCGGGCGACGGUUGUCCCGGUUUAAGCGUGUAGGCUGGUUUUCCAGGCAAAUCCGGAAAAUCAAGGCUGAGGCGUGAUGACGAGGCACUGCGGUGCUGAAGCAACAAAUGCCCUGCUUCCAGGAAAAGCCUCUAAGCAUCAGGUAACAUCAAAUCGUACCCCAAACCGACACAGGUGGUCAGGUAGAGAAUACCAAGGCGCUUGAGAGAACUCGGGUGAAGGAACUAGGCAAAAUGGUGCCGUAACUUCGGGAGAAGGCACGCUGAUAUGUAGGUGAAGUCCCUCGCGGAUGGAGCUGAAAUCAGUCGAAGAUACCAGCUGGCUGCAACUGUUUAUUAAAAACACAGCACUGUGCAAACACGAAAGUGGACGUAUACGGUGUGACGCCUGCCCGGUGCCGGAAGGUUAAUUGAUGGGGUUAGCGCAAGCGAAGCUCUUGAUCGAAGCCCCGGUAAACGGCGGCCGUAACUAUAACGGUCCUAAGGUAGCGAAAUUCCUUGUCGGGUAAGUUCCGACCUGCACGAAUGGCGUAAUGAUGGCCAGGCUGUCUCCACCCGAGACUCAGUGAAAUUGAACUCGCUGUGAAGAUGCAGUGUACCCGCGGCAAGACGGAAAGACCCCGUGAACCUUUACUAUAGCUUGACACUGAACAUUGAGCCUUGAUGUGUAGGAUAGGUGGGAGGCUUUGAAGUGUGGACGCCAGUCUGCAUGGAGCCGACCUUGAAAUACCACCCUUUAAUGUUUGAUGUUCUAACGUUGACCCGUAAUCCGGGUUGCGGACAGUGUCUGGUGGGUAGUUUGACUGGGGCGGUCUCCUCCUAAAGAGUAACGGAGGAGCACGAAGGUUGGCUAAUCCUGGUCGGACAUCAGGAGGUUAGUGCAAUGGCAUAAGCCAGCUUGACUGCGAGCGUGACGGCGCGAGCAGGUGCGAAAGCAGGUCAUAGUGAUCCGGUGGUUCUGAAUGGAAGGGCCAUCGCUCAACGGAUAAAAGGUACUCCGGGGAUAACAGGCUGAUACCGCCCAAGAGUUCAUAUCGACGGCGGUGUUUGGCACCUCGAUGUCGGCUCAUCACAUCCUGGGGCUGAAGUAGGUCCCAAGGGUAUGGCUGUUCGCCAUUUAAAGUGGUACGCGAGCUGGGUUUAGAACGUCGUGAGACAGUUCGGUCCCUAUCUGCCGUGGGCGCUGGAGAACUGAGGGGGGCUGCUCCUAGUACGAGAGGACCGGAGUGGACGCAUCACUGGUGUUCGGGUUGUCAUGCCAAUGGCACUGCCCGGUAGCUAAAUGCGGAAGAGAUAAGUGCUGAAAGCAUCUAAGCACGAAACUUGCCCCGAGAUGAGUUCUCCCUGACUCCUUGAGAGUCCUGAAGGAACGUUGAAGACGACGACGUUGAUAGGCCGGGUGUGUAAGCGCAGCGAUGCGUUGAGCUAACCGGUACUAAUGAACCGUGAGG
rnacentral:rRNA from 1 species